CUCGUAGGUGGCCAACUAAGUCGGACGUGAAAUCCCUCAGCUUAACUGGGGAACUGCGUCCGAUACUGGAUGGCUUGAGUUUGGGAGAGGGAUGCGGAAUUCCAGGUGUAGCGGUGAAAUGCGUAGAUAUCUGGAGGAACACCGGUGGCGAAGGCGGCAUCCUGGACCAACACUGAUACUGAGGAGCGAAAGCCAGGGGAGCAAACG
rnacentral:rRNA from 1 species